rnacentral:misc_RNA from 1 species
AUCCUCGUCCACCCUGCGAGAUGUUCUUCUUGUUCAUCUCCGCGGUCGUGUCGGACGGAUCGUGGUCGCUGCCGGUAAAAAACCCCCCUUCCGGCUCGACUGAAAUUUAAGAGGUAUUACGCACCGUUGCGGCCUGAUCCAAUUGUAAGCUUUAUUUUGCCAUUGGAGACACCCGACACCGCGAACACCCACCACAAACCUUAGAUUCAUUUUAAGC